rnacentral:rRNA from 1 species
GACGAACGCUGGCGGCGUGCUUAACACAUGCAAGUCGAACGGAAAGGCCCUGCUUUUGUGGGGUGCUCGAGUGGCGAACGGGUGCGUAACACGUGAGUAACCUGCCCUUGACUUUGGGAUCACUUCAGGACACCGGGGCUCAUACCGGAUAGGAGCUCCUGCUGCAUGGUGGGGGUUGGAAAGUUUCGGCGGUUGGGGAUGGACUCGCGGCUUAUCAGCUUGUUGGUGGGGUAGUGGCUUACCACGGCGUUGACGGGUAGCCGGCCUGAGAGCGUGACCGGCCACAUUGGGACUGAGAUACGGCCCAGACUCCUACGGGAGGCAGCAGUGGGGAAUAUUGCACAAUGGGCGGAAGCCGGAUGCAGCAACGCCGCGUGCGGGAUGAUGGCCUUCUGGUUGUAAACCGCUUUCGCCUGUGACGAAGCGUGAGUGACGGUAAUGGGUAAAGAAGCACCGGCUAACUACGUG